AUUGAACGCUGGCGGCAGGCCUAACACAUGCAAGUCGAGCGGAUGAAGGGAGCUUGCUCCUGGAUUCAGCGGCGGACGGGUGAGUAAUGCCUAGGAAUCUGCCUGGUAGUGGGGGAUAACGUCCGGAAACGGGCGCUAAUACCGCAUACGUCCUGAGGGAGAAAGUGGGGGAUCUUCGGACCUCACGCUAUCAGAUGAGCCUAGGUCGGAUUAGCUAGUUGGUGGGGUAAAGGCCUACCAAGGCGACGAUCCGUAACUGGUCUGAGAGGAUGAUCAGUCACACGGGACCGAGGACACGCUCCAACCUCCUACGGGAGGCAGCAGUGGGGAUUUUGGGACAGGGGGCGAAAGCCUGUUCCAGCCAUGCGGCGUGUGUGAAGAAGGGCUUCGGAUGGUAAGGCACUUUAGGUGGGGAGAAGGGGAGGUAGGUUAGUACCUGGCUUUUUGGCGUUUCCCAACAGAGAAGCCACCGCUAACUUUCUU
rnacentral:rRNA from 1 species